rnacentral:misc_RNA from 1 species
AUUUUAUUUAGUUCAUAAAAAAAGAUUGUGCAUAUAUCAUAGAUUUAUGUUUUCUUGAGAAAUUUGUAUCAUCGUAAACUGAUUUAGGCUUGGCUGCGUGAAUUCUGUUCUACAACUACUGCUAGGAUGGUAUUCCUUCUUAUGGGGUUCCUAUCUUGUCAUUUUAGACAUAAUAAAAUGUUUAUGCGACCCCUUACAUUUUACGCAGGGCAUGGAGAAACUUCAAAUUGU